rnacentral:rRNA from 1 species
AACGAACGCUGGCGGCAGGCCUAACACAUGCAAGUCGAACGCCCGUAGCAGUACGGGAGUGGCAGACGGGUGAGUAACGCGUGGGAACGUGCCCUUCGGUUUGGAAUAACUCAGGGAAACUUGAGCUAAUACCAAAUACGUCCGUAAGGAGAAAGAUUUAUCGCCGAAGGAUCGGCCCGCGUCGGAUUAGCUAGUUGGUGAGGUAACGGCCCACCAAGGCGACGAUCCGUAGCUGGUCUGAGAGGAUGAUCAGCCACACUGGGACUGAGACACGGCCCAGACUCCUACGGGAGGCAGCAGUGGGAAUAUUGGACAAUGGGCGAAAGCCUGAUCCAGCCAUGCCGCGUGAGUGAAGAAGGCCUUAGGGUUGUAAAGCUCUUUCAGCGGGGAANAUAAUGACGGUACCCGCAGAAGAAGCCCCGGCUAACUUCGUGCCAGCAG